rnacentral:lncRNA from 1 species
UUUUAGAUAAGUUGUUUGAAAAUAUUGUUGGUUACAAACUUCCUUCUGUUGUUUGAUUGAAAGCAGUCAAUGGCGCUUUUCAAGGACUGCCAACGCUAAUACUGUAUAUGGUUGGUAACAACAUUGAAUGAUUGAGAUGUUUAUGAACUGACAUUCAGUCCGACCAUGGGAAGCUGUGCUCUGCCGGAUGCGUGCUCAAUUAUUGGAGUCAUUCAAUGCUACAUUUCUCUACUUUAGGUCUACAUAAUAAAAAUUGUACUUAUUGAAAAAAAAAUAUAUAUUGUUUUCAUUUAUUUUAUUUAGAUAGCGCUAUCACAUUCGGCAUCCAUCGUAUUUUUAUUUAUCAGUUGUCAAAUUAGACCAAUCUGUGGUCUGCAUCCCCUGCAUAAUUGAUCCUUUUACAUACAUGUCAGACCCACUCCUUUAUUUCUUUAAUGGCUUUCAGUUAUUUGGUGGACACAGGGAAUUGAUUCCCAGUUCCCUCCCCAAACUCCUACUUCACUCCAUAUUCUGUUCCUCUGCACUCUUAUUUUUUCAUCAACAAGAAUUAUCCCUGUUUUAUCAAACUUUUCUCACGAUUAAGACCACCCUGCCUCAAGCUUUCAUCCAUCAAAUUCUCAUUUCUAGUCCUCUUAUUCCACAGUUCCCAUAAUUCUGUCCAACCCCUUUAAAGUGUCCCAAUGACUCGCACCCAUUAACAACCCAUCAUUCGACAAAUUAUAUUAAACAACCUGAUUUGUCUCCUAUAUGCAAAAAUUACGAGUCAGGUUUUUUUGCUUUAAUAUAAAUGGCAAUUUUUUUUCACACAUCUCGUUUUUGAACUCCCAUGCGUAUUUGUUACUAUCAACUAUAUGGCAUCAAUGCACACAAUUCAAACGAUCUUUUCACAAAACCAC